rnacentral:misc_RNA from 1 species
AUGAAGAACGUAGCGAAAUGCGAUAAGUAGUGUGAAUUGCAGAAUUCAGUGAAUCAUCGAAUCUUUGAACGCACAUUGCGCCCUUUGGUAUUCCUUAGGGCAUGCCUGUUCGAGCGUCAUUUCAACCAUCAAGCCCCCGGCUUGUGUUGGGGACCUGCGGCUGCCGCAGGCCCUGAAAACCAGUGGCGGGCUCGCUAGUCACUCCGAGCGUAGUAAUACAUCUCGCUCAGGGCGUGCUGCGGGUUCCGGCCGUUAAAAAGCCUUAUUUACCCAAGGUUGACCUCGGAUCAGGUAGGAAGACCCGCUGAACUUAAGCAUAUCAAUAAGCGGAGGA